AGGACGAACGCUGGCGGCGUGCCUAACACAUGCAAGUCGAACGCGCUCCAUUCGGUAGCAAUACUGAUGAAGAGCGAGUGGCGAACGGGUGAGUAGCACGUGAGCAACCUGCCCCGAAGACCGGGACAACACCGGGAAACCGGUGCUAAUACCGGAUAUCCCUAUCGGACCGCAUGAUCUGAUAAGGAAAUGGAUUCCGCUUCGGGAGGGGCUCGCGGCCUAUCAGCUAGUUGGUGAGGUAACGGCCCACCAAGGCAUCGACGGGUAGCUGGUCUGAGAGGACGAUCAGCCACACUGGGACUGAGACACGGCCCAGACUCCUACGGGAGGCAGCAGUGGGGAAUCUUGCGCAAUGGGCGAAAGCCUGACGCAGCAACGCCGCGUGGAGGACGAAGGCUUUCUGAGUUGUAAACUCCUUUCAGCAGGGACGAUAGUGACGGUACCUGCAGAAGAAGCACCGGCCAACUACGCGCCAGCAGCCGCGGUAA
rnacentral:rRNA from 1 species